rnacentral:rRNA from 1 species
CCUACGGGGUGCAGCAGUAGGGAAUUUUCGGCAAUGGGGGGAACCCUGACCGAGCAACGCCGCGUGAACGAAGAAGUUAUUCGUAAUGUAAAGUUCUUUUAACAGGGAAGAAAGAGAAAUUUGACGGUACCUGAAGAAUAAGCUCCGGCAAACUACGUGCCAGCAGCCGCGGUAAUACGUAGGGAGCGAGCGUUAUCCGGAAUUAUUGGCCGUAAAGGUUGCGUAGAUGGCAUAGUAAGUCUUUUGUAAAAAUGCUGGGCUAAACCCAGGAGGGCAAAAGAUACUGCAAAGCUAGAGUAUAACAGAGGCAGGUGGAACGAAAGGUGUAGCGGUAAAAUGCGUAGAUAU